GCCUCGAUGGCUCAGUGGUAGAGCGAGAUCUUGGUAAGAUCUAGGUCGGGGGUCCGAUUCCCCCUCGAGGCU
rnacentral:tRNA from 1 species